AAAGGUCCUGCUAAUGAGCAGACGGUGAAUCAGGAUGAACAUCAGCAGCAAGUGUACUCCUCUCUUCUUCAUGGUGAUCGUUGUGUCUAUGAGACAAUCAGAGGCUCUGAAAACACUGAAAAUGGACAACGUGGUGACCCAGAGGAGAGCUCUGACUACUAUAAUGUGAAUCCAAAUUCAGCCACAGCUCUAAAAUCUUAACAGCAGCUCUUUAGCUGUUUUUAUCUUUUUCUCUUUAAAGGAACUUAAAAACUUGACGUCACUUUGAGUGAAAAGGAGCAGAUUUUUCAUUCAAAGCAAUGAUCCUGAUAGCCUGAGUUUAUAUUUCCUUCAGAAAGAAUCGCUCAGUGUGUUUCACUCAUUUCUUAUUAGUCAGAAUAUUAAUGAACUUUAAUGUGCUGUAGAUCUGUUUUU